rnacentral:rRNA from 1 species
UACGUAGGGGGCAAGCGUUGUCCGGAAUCAUUGGGCGUAAAGAGCGCGUAGGCGGCCCAGUAAGUCCGCUCUGAAAGUCAGGGGCUCAACCCCUGGAUGCGGGUGGAUACUGCUGGGCUAGAGUCCGGAAGAGGCGAGUGGAAUUCCUGGUGUAGCGGUGAAAUGCGCAGAUAUCAGAAGGAACACCGAUGGCGAAGGCAGCUCGCUGGGACGGUACUGACGCUGAGGCGCGAAAGCGUGGGGAGCAAACAGG